rnacentral:lncRNA from 1 species
GCCAGCAUGGCCGGCCGGACUGUACGGGCCGAGACCCGGAGCCGGGCCAAGGAUGACAUCAAGAAGGUGAUGGCGACCAUCGAGAAGGUCCGGAGAUGGGAGAAGCGAUGGGUGACUGUGGGCGACACUUCCCUUCGUAUCUUCAAGUGGGUGCCAGUGGUGGAUCCCCAGGAGGAGGAGCGAAGGCGGGCAGGUGGCGGGGCAGAGAGAUCCCGUGGCCGGGAACGUCGGGGCAGGGGCGCCAGUCCCCGAGGGGGUGGCCCUCUCAUCCUGCUGGAUCUUAAUGGCCAACCAUCUCGGCUCUUGCUCCCGCAGAUGAGAACAGCAACCAGAGUUUCCAUUCGGAAGGUUCCCUGCAAAAGGGCACAGAGCCCAGUCCUGGGGGCACCCCCCAGCCCAGCCGCCCUGUGUCACCUGCCGGACCCCCAGAAGGGGUCCCUGAGGAGGCUCAGCCCCCACGGCUGGGCCAAGAGAGAGAUCCCGGGGGCAUAACUGCUGGCAGCACCGACGAACCCCCAAUGCUGACCAAGGAGGAGCCUGUUCCAGAACUGCUGGAAGCUGAGGCCCCCGAAGCUUACCCUGUCUUUGAGCCAGUGCCACCUGUCCCUGAGGCAGCCCAGGGUGACACAGAGGACUCGGAGGGUGCCCCCCCACUCAAGCGCAUCUGCCCAAAUGCCCCUGACCCCUGAGAAGCCGGCCUGCCUGUCCUGUUGCCCCAGGGGCCCCUUUGGCUUUUUACAAAUAAAGACCCUUUU